AAUAAUACCCGGGUAGUCCACGCCGUAAACGAUGAGUGCUAGGUGUUGGGGGGGACCCCCCUCAGUGCCGCAGGUAACCCAAUAAGCACUCCGCCUGGGGGAGUACGGGUCGCAAGACUGAAAACUCAAAGGAAUUGACGGGGGGCCCGCACAAGCGGUGGAGCAUGUGGUUUAAUUCGAAGCAACGCGAAGAACCUUACCAGGGCUUGACAUCCCGCUGAUCGGUGUAGAGAUAUGCCUUUCCCCUUCGGGGGACAGCGGUGACAGGUGGUGCAUGGUUGUCGUCAGCUCGUGUCGUGAGAUGUUGGGUUCAGUCCCGCAACGAGCGCAACCCUUGUUUCUAGUUGCCAGCACUUCGGGUGGGCACUCUAGAGAGACAGCCGGUGAAAGCCGGAGGAAGGUGGGGAUGACGUCAAAUCAUCAUGCCCCUUAUGUCCUGGGCUACACACGUGCUACAAUGGCUGGUACAAAGGGCAGCGAACCCGCGAGGGGGAGCCAAUCCCGAAAAAACCNGUCUCAGUUCGGAUUGCAGGCUGCAACUCG
rnacentral:rRNA from 1 species